GCUGGGAUGGUGUAGUUGGUUAUCACGUCUGUCUAACACAUGAAAUCUUCGCCGUCUUCCUCUAUGUGCACAGAAGGUCCCGAGUUCAAGUCUCGGUCCUAGUA
rnacentral:tRNA from 1 species